rnacentral:rRNA from 1 species
UGGCCGGGUGCCUUAAUACAUGCAAGUAGAACGCUGAAGGAGGAGCUUGCUUCUCUGGAUGCAGUGUGCGAACGGGUGAGUCACGCGUAGGUAACGUGCGCUGAGUAGCGGGGGCAUAACUAUUGUGAAACGAUAGCCUAAUACCGCAUAAUAGUAGAUGUUGCACUGACAUUUGCUUAGAAAGGUGCAAUUGCAUCACUACCAGAUGGGCGUGCGUUGUGUUAGCUAGUUGGUGAGGUAACGGCUCACCACGGCGACGAUACAUAGCCGACAUGAGAGGGUGAUCGGCCACACUGGGACUGAGACACGGCCCAGACUCGUACGGGAGGCAGCAGUAGGGAAUCUUCGGCAAUGGCACGGAAGUCUGACCGAGCAACGCCGCGUGAGUGAAGAAGGUUUUCGGAUCGUAAAGCUCUGUUGUAAGAGAAGAACGAGUGUGAGAGUGGAAAGUUCACACUGUGACGGUAUCUUACCAGAAAGGGACGGCUAACUACGUGCCAGCAGCCGCGGUAAUACGUAGGUCCCGAGCGUUGUCCGGAUUUAUUGGGCGUAAAGCGAGCGCAGGCGGUUAGAUAAGUCUGAAGUUAAAGGCUGUGGCUUAACCAUAGUACGCUUUGGAAACUGUUUAACUUGAGUGCAAGAGGGGAGAGUGGAAUUCCAUGUGUAGCGGUGAAAUGCGUAGAUAUAUGGAGGAACACCGGUGGCGAAAGCGGCUCUCUGGCUUGUAACUGACGCUGAGGCUCGAAAGCGUGGGGAGCAAACAGGAUUAGAUGCCCUGGUAGUCCACGCCGUAAACGAUGAGUGCUAGGUGUCAGACCCUUUCCGGGGUUUAGUGCCGCAGCUAACGCAUUAAGCACUCCGCCUGGGGAGUACGACCGCAAGGUUGAAACUCAAAGGAAUUGACGGGGGCCCGCACAAGCGGUGGAGCAUGUGGUUUAAUUCGAAGCCACGCGAAGAACCUUACCAGGUCUGACAUCCUCUGACGCUCUAGAGAUAGAGUUUCCUCGGACGAGUGACAGUGUGCAUGUGUGUAGCUCUGUGGAGAGUGGGUAGUCGCACAGCCACCUUG